rnacentral:rRNA from 1 species
GACGAACGCUGGCGGCGUGCUUAACACAUGCAAGUCGAACGGAAAGGCCCUGCUUUUGUGGGGUGCUCGAGUGGCGAACGGGUGAGUAACACGUGAGUAACCUGCCCUUGACUUUGGGAUAACUUCAGGAAACUGGGGCUAAUACCGUAUAGGAGCUCCUGCUGCAUGGUGGGGGUUGGAAAGUUUCGGCGGUUGGGGAUGGACUCGCGGCUUAUCGGCUUGUUGGUGGGGUAGUGGCUUACCAAGGCUUUGACGGGUAGCCGGCCUGAGAGGGUGACCGGCCACAUUGGGCCUGAGAGACGGCGCAGACGCCAACGGGAGACAGCAGUGGGAAGUAUUACACAAUGGGCGGACGCCUGAUGCAGCAGCGCUGCGUGCGGGAUGACGGCCUUCGGGGUAUAAACCGCUUUCGCCUGUGACGAAGCGUGAGUGACGGUAAUGGGUAAAUAAGCACCGGCUAACUACGUG